UCCCAACCAGCACAGCAUGGCUUCAGUGAAAGCAGAAGAUUCAUUUACUGAUGUAACAACUGAAAAGAGAUGUCACAGGCAGGGGAAGAGAGAAGGGACAGAACUGUGAGUUCCCUGUGAGCCAGGACUGAGAGCUCUGCCACAUACUUCUCUGUGUUCUGAGUAACCCUAAACACUGAAGAGCCAGGAAUAACUCCUUUGCUGCAGUCAGUGCUUGAUACAGGCACUUCUUUUAUCUACUGAGUGAAAUAAUCAAAGACAAGAGAAAACACUGUGCCAGGUAGCUGGUGGCAGAAUGGAAACAAUAUUUGAAAGACUAUCACAGCUCCAGAGGUCAAUGUGCAUUUCAAAAACACACUGUGCUGUGGGUCUCUGCCCAGAGCCACCAAGGGUGCCCACCAUCUCCUACUCAUAGACUGCCAGAUACCACCAGCCAGGGCUCUGACAUUGCUUUAGGGACAAGGAAUUAUAUUUUGCAUUGGCUCAACUUUUUCAAUAACUACAACCAGAGAAAGACUGAAGUAGUCUGCAACAGGCAGAACAUCAGCCUCUUAUUCCACUUACCCUGAAAGGCUGUUGACACUCAUGCCUAUAAAGUGCUCAAAAUUAGAGCAGAGCUGUUAUUAUCACUGAAAAUACUUCCCAUGGAAGCUCAUUUGUGCUUUUUUAAAUCAGUCUGGGUGUUGAAAGGUAGUAGAAAACCUGGUGUCUGUAAUCUCUGCAACAUGAAAAAGGCUGGGUUCACUCUCAGUUUCUAGUGAGACGAUCCUACCACCAUAUGGUGGACCAGGUUGAGUCUGUUCUGCCUUGCUGAGGCAAAAGCUGUGGCUGAGGCUUGGGUCCACCAGGCACUCUCCUCAGUGUCACUUCUGUCCCUUUUUACAUGAAGGCAGUCACCAGAACAAACGCUGGACCAGCUGCAAGACUUUUCUCUUGGGAAGCACAUAAAGGACCUGUGUGUUAGAGCUAGAGAGGGUUUCAGCACACCCCAAGCAAAAAGUAGACUCCUACUGCCCCCACCCCCCCUCCAAUACCUACACUACAUCCAGUUAGUCACAUGCUUGAGCAAAGGUAAGGAUGGAAAAGGAGUAAAUUGUUUUCAUCCCUAUCAGACAGAGGUAAGUUUUUCUUAGGGAUCAGUUCUGAGUAUCUAGCACACCUGUACAACAUGGAAGUUCUAACCUUACCCUGAAUGCUAUUAUAUGAACUGAAAAAUUUCAGUUUGCAGUUCCUCAUUCCAGAAAAUAUCUAUCUCAGUAAAAGCUUACAGGAAGAAGGCUUUGCAGAAGUAAUGCAGAACACAGUAGCUACUUCCAUGGGGCUCUGCUGUGGGUCUUUAUUGUGUUUAAAUUUGAGAAGUAUGUUGUUCUGCAGAAGAAAACUUAAGUGUUCAAAGAGGACAUCAACUUCUACUAUUGCCUCCUGAAAGACUAUGGCAAGGCAGAGCGGAACAUCCUUGUUCCCAUUCUGCUGCAUUUACACUGAUGCUCAGCAGACCACACAAGCAUGGUGGCUCUCCUGUUCUAAAAGGAGUGUAAAUACUGGAAUUGUCAGCAAAUGGGCAAGUUAGUCUCUCCUAACCCCCACUCCAGCCAAAGCCCAUAUGUAGCUGCUGUAAUACCAACAAGCCUUUGGGAACUAGUUUUUCUUAGAAAAAUAAGUUAAUGCACCAAGUCAGCUGUUAACUUUGCAAGGUGCUGUCUGAGAUAAGGGCUCACAUGAACUAUUUCUCUGCUACACAAGUACUAAGUCUUAUAAAGCCAAGUUUUAAGGUACUUCAGGCAUUCUGACACUUAGUAACUGCAUUAACUAGUAUAUGGAAGCAAGAUUAAUAUUUAUUAGCUUGAAGUAUCAUAUUUUAUUCAAGUGAUAUCAUAAUACAUUAUGCAUCUGCCAGUUAUAAUCCAUUUUAAUUGGUUCCAAAACCUAAGCAGUAAAUAAGUAAGACAGUUUAUCUAGUUAAACUGAAAAAACAGCAUUCCACACAGCCAGUACUAGAGAUGUCAACCGUAUAGUAAUUCCAGCAUUAUGUUGUUAUGGCUUUCCAGAAAGUCAUGAAGUUAACAAAUUAGAACACAUCAAGAGCCAUUUUCCAAAGAUUUAUUGAAGUAGCGACAGGUUGCUCAUACUGUGCUGGAAAAAGCAGUUUUAUUGAAUUCAGAUACUUAAAAACAGUAUUGCAGCACAAGAUAUUGCUAUUUGUAAACUAGACUCCAUUGUAAACUCUAAUCCUUCAGGGAGAGUCAGUUUGCAAGAUCUAAGACCUAUUUCCUAGCAUAAUCAUCUU